rnacentral:rRNA from 1 species
UGGGGGAUAUUGCACAAUGGGCGAAAGCCUGAUGCAGCGACGCCGCGUGGGGGAUGAAGGCCUUCGGGUUGUAAACUUCUUUUGCUCUGAACAAGGCGCACCAUGGGGUGUGUUGAGUGUAGGGGUUGAUUAGCGCCGGCUAACUACGUGCCAGCAGCCGCGGUAAUACGUAGGGCGCGAGCGUUGUCCGGAAUUAUUGGGCGUAAAGGGCUUGUAGGUGGCUGGUUGCGUCUGUCGUGAAAGCUCAUGGCUUAACUGUGGGUUUGCGGUGGGUACGGUCUGUCUUGAGUGCAGUAGGGGAGGCUGGAAUUCCUGGUGUAGCGGUGGAAUGCGCAGAUAUCAGGAGGAAUACCGGUGGCGAAGGCGGGUCUCUGGGCUGUUACUGACACUGAGGAGCGAAAGCAUGGGGAGCGAACAGG